AUUGAACGCUGGCGGCAGGCCUAACACAUGCAAGUCGAGCGGAGCGGCGGACGGGUGAGUAAUGCCUAGGAAUCUGCCUGGUAGUGGGGGAUAACAUCCGGAAACGGGAGCUAAUACCGCAUACUAUCAGAUGAGCCUAGGUCGGAUUCGCUAGUUGGUGGGGUAAAGGCCUACCAAGGCGACGAUCUGUAACUGGUCUGAGAGGAUGAUCAGUAAAACUGGAAGUGAACCACGGUCCAGACUCCUUCGGGAGGCCGAGGUGGGGAAGAUGUGACGUUGGGCGAAAUCCUGAUCCGUCCAUGCGUCGGUUGUGAAGAAGGUCUUCGGAUUGGAAAGCACUUUAAGUUGGGAGGCGUUACCCACAGAAUAAGCACCGGCUAACUUCGUGCCAGCAGCCGCGGUAAUAC
rnacentral:rRNA from 1 species